rnacentral:rRNA from 1 species
GUCAACUAUGGUGUUGGAUCCAACAAUUCGCAUUGGUCUCAAACCAAUGACAUCCAUUUCGAAGACCAUGAGUUUGAGGUGGACGAGGAGGGUGAGGGCAUUGUCGACGUGCCGAAAGGAAGAGCGGGCAAUUACACCACCAACGAUGACAAGUUACUAUGCAAUACUUGGUUGCAAGUGUCGAGGGAUCCAUCCGUUGGAGGUGAUCAAAGUAGAGAUGCUUAUUGGGGGCGAAUGAAAGAACGCUUUGAUGCUCACAACGUGAGUGGAAUUGACCGCUCCGAGAGAUCACUUCGGUCCCGAUUGUCACCCCAUUGUACGAGGAAGAUGAUUGAUGUGUCUUUCAUUUAUGUCUUAAACUUUAGUUUGCAUUUUGAACUUGGUUGGAUGAACUUGUGGGCAUGA